rnacentral:rRNA from 1 species
UACGUAGGUGGCAAGCGUUGUCCGGAUUUACUGGGCGUAAAGGGCGCGUAGGCGGCCCGCUAAGUCGAACGUGAAAUCACCGAGCUCAACUCGGGAACUGCGUCCGAUACUGGUGGGCUUGAAUCCGGGAGAGGGAUGCGGAAUUCCAGGUGUAGCGGUGAAAUGCGUAGAUAUCUGGAGGAACACCGGUGGCGAAGGCGGCAUCCUGGACCGGCAUUGACGCUGAGGCGCGAAAGCUAGGGGAGCAAACGGG